GACGAACGCUGGCGGCGUGCCUAAUACAUGCAAGUAGAACGCUGAAGGAGGAGCUUGCUUCUCUGGAUGAGUUGCGAACGGGUGAGUAACGCGUAGGUAACCUGCCUGGUAGCGGGGGAUAACUAUUGGAAACGAUAGCUAAUACCGCAUAAGAGUAGAUGUUGCAUGACAUUUGCUUAAAAGGUGCAAUUGCAUCACUACCAGAUGGACCUGCGUUGUAUUAGCUAGUUGGUGAGGUAACGGCUCACCAAGGCGACGAUACAUAGCCGACCUGAGAGGGUGAUCGGCCACACUGGGACUGAGACACGGCCCAGACUCCUACGGGAGGCAGCAGUAGGGAAUCUUCGGCAAGGGACGGAAGGCUGACCGAGCAACGCCGCGGGAGUGAAGAAGGUUUUCGGAUCGUAAAGCUCUGUUGUAAGAGAAGAACGAGUGUGAGAGUGGAAAGUUCACACUGUGACGGUAUCUUACCAGAAAGGGACGGCUAACUACGUG
rnacentral:rRNA from 1 species